AUUGAACGCUGGCGGCAUGCCUUACACAUGCAAGUCGAACGGUAACGGGCCUUCGGGUGCCGACGAGUGGCGCACGGGGGAGUAAUACAUCGGAACGUGCCCGAUCGUGGGGGAUAACGAGGCGAAAGCUGUGCUAAUACCGCAUACGAUCUACGGAUGAAAGCAGGGGACCGCAAGGCCUUGCGCGGACGGAGCGGCCGAUGGCAGAUUAGGUAGUUGGUGGGAUAAAAGCUUACCAAGCCGACGAUCUGUAGCUGGUCUGAGAGGAUGAUCAGCCACACUGGGACUGAGACACGGCCCAGACUCCUACGGGAGGCAGCAGUGGGGAAUUUUGGACAAUGGGCGCAAGCCUGAUCCAGCCAUGCCGCGUGCAGGAUGAAGGCCUUCGGGUUGUAAACUGCUUUUGUACGGAACGAAAAGCCUUCUUUUAAUACAGGAGGGUCAUGACGGUACCGUAAGAAUAAGCACCGGCUAACUACGUG
rnacentral:rRNA from 1 species